rnacentral:rRNA from 1 species
AUUGAACGCUGGCGGCAUGCCUUACACAUGCAAGUCGAACGGAGUGGCGAACGGGUGAGUAAGGGAUCGGAACGUGCCCAGUAGCGGGGGAUAACUACGCGAAAGGGUAGCUAAUACCGCAUACUCUUGCACCGGCCGAUAUCGGAUUGGCUAGUGGGUGGGGUAAGGGCUCACCAAGGCGACGAUCCCUAGCUGGUCUGAGAGGACGACCAGCCACACUGGGACGGAGACACGGCCCAGACUCCUACGGGAGGCAGCAGUGGGGAAUAUUGGACAAUGGGCGAAACCCUGAUGCAGCCAUGCCGCGUGUAUGAUGAAGGCCUUCGGGUUGUAAAGUACUUUCAGCAGGGAAGCGUUACCGGCAGAAGAAGCACCGGCUAACUCCGUGCCAGCAGCCGCGGUAAUAC